rnacentral:lncRNA from 1 species
GCUGCUUUCCACCCCCCAACUCCAGUAUUAUUGGAUGAGUUGAUUGAAAGAUACCCCUUAUCCUUCUUCAGACAAGCUCUCUUUCCCUGGUGUGGUUGCUGCUCUGAGUUAAGGGAACGGGAGAUGAUACUGACUAGAAAUUCAUCAGCCCCGGUGUUUACUACGUCCUAACCUCCGCCCCCACCCCAAGGCCACGACCGCUGUCUGCUAACCUGACGCCAAGCGCACCUUCCUGCGACUGCAGCGGCUGGAGGGCUCAAAACUACGUUUCCCAGAAUGCCUUGUGGCUGCGCAUGUGGCCGGAGGUUAGGUUCCACCAAUCAGGUGCCUCCGCGGGAAGCUUGAAUUUCUUACCGAAGUAAGCUGGGCGAGAGGCAGCCCGAAGGCCAGUGCAGAUCCCGGCGAGAGGCUGCGGCGGUGGAGCCGGCUGGCGGCUUCCUGAUCGCGCAGGAGGAGCAGCGGUUCCUGGACGGCCCUUUCUGAGCGCUGGAUUUGAGAAUGCCCUGGAGGCUCAGCCUAGAUUCUGUUUCUUCUGAGAGGCUCUGUGUCCCUUAAU